rnacentral:rRNA from 1 species
UACGAAGGGGGCUAGCGUUGUUCGGAAUCACUGGGCGUAAAGCGCACGCAGGCGGAUCGUUAAGUCAGGGGUGAAAUGCCGAGGCUCAACCUCGGAACUGCCUUUGAUACUGGCGAUCUUAGAGUCCGGGAGAGGUGAGUGGAACUCCGAGUGUAGAGGUGAAAUUCUUAGAUAUUCGGAAGAACACCAGUGGCGAAGGCGGCUCACUGGCCCGGUACUGACGCUCAGGUGCGAAAGCGUGGGGAGCAAACAGG